rnacentral:rRNA from 1 species
CCCUUAGAUGUUCUGGGCCGCACGCGUGCUACACUGAUGCAUUCAGCGAGUCUAAAACCUGGUCUGAUAGGGCUGGGUAAUCUUUUGAAAGUGCAUCGUGAUUGGGAUAGAUGAUUGCAAUUCUUCAUCUUCAACGAGGAAUGCCUAGUAAACGCAAGUCAUCAGCUUGCAUUGAUUACGUCCCUGCCCUUUGUACACACCGCCCGUCGCUCCUACCGAUUGAAUGAUCCGAUGAAUACCAUGGAUUGAGAGUACGAAUAGGUUCGCUUAUUUCUGCUGCUCGAGAAGUGGAGUAAAUCUUAUCAUUUAGAGGAAGGAGAAGUCGUAACA